rnacentral:lncRNA from 1 species
UAGAAGGGCAGAGUGAUGAAUCAAAGAAAGAUUUGACAGAAUGAGUCAGAGAUCAUAUACAUCCAGCUCACAUGAUAACAGCACAAGAAAGAGAGGCUACUUAAGAGCAGAGAGAGAAGGAGAGGUGGGGAGAUGGCAGUUUUGUGUCUGGACAGUUUUGCAGAGGCAAGCUGUGAAAGAACAAGCUAGACACAGGUGAAGACAGACGAGCCAGAGAAUGAGAAGGAGCCAGAAGAUUAGAACAGAUUGCCAAGUUAGAAUGUGGCCAAGCAGACAAUUCAGCCAGAAGCCAGAGAAACUGGAUUGAAUUGGUCAUCUUGGAAGGUUAGACUGUACAGAGGCUAGAAGCUCCUAGGCUUAGGGUUAGAACAGAAAAAGAGACACUCUGGGCUCAGCCUCAACUGUGUAUUUGCAUAGCGUGUGUACAGCUUGCAUCUCAUCCCAUCAUCUGAGGAAAUAAAGAGACAUUUAUGAGGAGGGGGAUGUUAGAAUUAGGAUUCUAGGGCUGGGUGAUGGUAGCACAUGCCAGCACUUGGGAGGUAGAGGCAAGCAGAUUUCUAUGAUUCUAUGAGUUUGAGGGCAGCCUGGUCCACAGAGCAAGUUCUAGGAGACCCAAGGGUACACAGAGAAACCCUGUUUAAAUUCCACUCCCCCCUCACCCCCUC